GAUGAACGCUAGCGGCAGGCUUAAUACAUGCAAGUCGAGGGACAGCACAGGUAGCAAUACUGGGUGGUAACCGGCAAACGGGUGCGGAACACGUACACAACCUUCCUUUAAGUGGGGGAUAGCCCAGAGAAAUUUGGAUUAAUACCCCGUAAUAUAGUUGAAUGGCAUCAUUUGAUUAUUAUAGCUACGGCGCUUAAUGAUGGGUGUGCGGCUGAUUAGAUAGUUGGCGGGGUAACGGCCCACCAAGUCUACGAUCAGUAACUGAUGUGAGAGCAUGAUCAGCAACACGGGGACUGAGACACGUGCCCGACUCCUACGGGAGGCAGCAGUAAGGAAUAUUGGUCAAUAGACGCAAGUCUGAACCAGCCAUGCCGCGUGAAGGAUUAAGGUCCUCUGGAUUGUAAACUUCUUUUAUUUGGGACGAAAAAGGGCCUUUCUAGGUCAACUGACGGUACCAGAUGAAUAAGCACCGGCUAACUCCGUGCCAGCCGCCGCGGUAAAAC
rnacentral:rRNA from 1 species